GGAUGCUGUCUUUCAUAAAUCAUUUUGAAUCACAUAAAUAUAACACUCAAUGGUACUUACAGGAGAUAUAGUAUUCUAAUCAAUGAAACACUGGUAUUCAAUAAUAGUUGAAAAACACCCACAGUAAACUAACAUGACUAAGAAGUAAGAACUACUGGGCUGGUAAUUUGAGCAACAAGUAUUAUCUUCAGUUUCUACUCUAUGCCCACCACAAAAUCAUCAUUUGCAUGGGACAGCAAAAUACAACACCUUGAACACGACUUCAUGCUUCCCCAUGGGUUCCUUCAGCCAUCACUUGUGGCAGAUGAGUUGGUGAACCAUCUCCUUUUGCAUCUAGAACUCAAUGGCUGCAAUCCUCAUUCUUCUCAUUCAGCAUCAUAGAAUAGAAUAACAAUAUCAUCACCUCUUUUCCUGGCCUUGUGCGAGUUCCCAAAUUACUCAUUUCCAGUUUCCACAUCAUCAAUUUCUGCAAAUUCUUCUACCUCAUCCGCAUCAUCUAUGGGAAUUUCUUCACUAUACUCAACAGAAGAACCUAGAGAUUGUAAAAUAUGUUUUAGAAAAUAUUAAUCUCACCAAUGUAUCUUAUACAAUAUAAUUCCAGAAUCAUCAUAUUUGCACCAAUUGCAUCUAGAGGAACAAAUAUUUUGGGUUCAUCAAUGUAAAUACAUGCAGAACCACCAAGUUUCAGGAACCCAUAAAUUAGCACCAAAUUAGGCAAAUUAAUACAAAUCAUGAAUGCAAACAAGUUAUAAACAACUCGUUACUUUCAUGCUGAAGAAAUUUGUCAGGUAUUCCCAACUUCUUCCAGUAUAGGAGAUCAAUUCCUGUUUCCAUUCAAAUAAACUAAAUAAUAAUAAUACCAAAAAUAGAGAACAACUAAAAUUCAGAUCCUGCUGUUGCAAGUAAGCUUUGCCAGCUGAAAAAUUAGGGUGAAACAGGAAUCAGAGAACACACUUUGAUUUUAAGAAAGCAAAGACUUCGUUGUUGACUGAUUUAGAUCAUCCAAAUCAAACUUAUAUCAAAGAAAAGCAAAAUUGAUUUACCUCCUUGAAUUAAUGGGGUGGGACCAUGAGUUGGUACUCUUGAUUCUGAUACACUGUCAAGAGGAUAAGGAAGUUCCAAAAGCUGCAACAAAGACUCUGUUUGAGGAUUCCUAGGAUAAUCAAAGUAGGAAUUAUUUGAGUCAGGUUGGCUGGGAUCAAAAGAAGGAACGGUCUGUGCAAAUUCAAAAGGUUUGGGCCCUCUAGCUUGUAGCCGGCUCCUAACCCAUUGUUGACAAUCUUGCAUCUCGAGCUGUGUACCACCAAAAUUUGCAUUUUUAAAUGUUAACGGAAAUAUAGGGUUGAACUUCCUGGUUAUUGCCAGCCAUUCUUCAUCAUAUUGAAUCUCAUAAGGUCCAGGCUCUGAUUCAAUAUCAAUAAUCUGUGAAAUCAUUGGACAUCAGAAUUGAUGGCACAAACCUCCAACAAUGACUACAAGCUCGUUAUAACCAGCAAUUACAUAUUACAAUAUAUACCUGCAAAAAUUUGCGCCGUGGAAGACACUUAUCAAGUGCAAGAAAUUUUGUCGUUGGGCCACUUUCCCCAUGUUGGACAACAGCAGCAAAUUUGCAGUGCAAGUGAGCCGAAAACCAAUAAGGAGGCCUCAAUUUUUCCAGUAGCUGAGCAGCUGCUUUACUUCCAAGAGUUCUUUCCCGAAUCUGCAAACAGAGUGAGCAACUUAUGUGGGUACAAAGAGUUUGGGCAAGUAUGAAGGUUAAUUGGUGGUGCAAAUAGGCUUACACUAUGAUACAAAAACUCCACAUGGUUUUUUCUACCAGGCAAGGUACUCUGGCAAGCCACCUUCCUUUCCAAGUGCAAAGUAUUUGAUUUCUCAAAUACCAGAAUAUAAAUUUCCUAUAUUCUUUUUGUUUCAGUAUGAAAUAUUAUGAACUUAUGACUUAUAACAAAUCUCACUAAGUCAAUCCUUUCAUCGAUACACGUAUUAAAAUCACCUCAUUCUCAAAAUGUCGUUUAUGUCUAACUAGUUGCUGCCAGUUCCCACAAUCAGUGAUGCCAAGAGGCCAAUCAUGUGAAAGAAAAAUAUCAAUGGGUUCCUCAACUUGCAUGAGUUUGUGGACAUCAUACUCACGAACGUGAUAUACAGAUCUUAUAGUUCUCUCAUUAUAGGGAGGCCUCUCAUGGUGUCCUAAAUGAUAAUCUCGCGCGCUAUAUAUCCCAGAAAGGCCACCUAUACGUAUAUUGCCAAACUUGACCACCCCAGCAAAUCCCAGAAAGUAUAUAUUAGGGGCUGCCCAUCCUCCAUAAUAUAGUUCCCAUAAAUAAUUGGAAGCUUCAUGGUUCCCGCCGAUGAAAAUGGUCGGAAUCGGAGCGACUUCUUGGCCCGAAUAGUACUUCCAGAACGACUUCAUCUCGCGAUAUUUCGGCGGCACAUUUAAGCUCUCCAUGUCUCUCGCAUUCCUCACAGCCUGGAAAUCGCCGCAACAGAGGAGAAGGUCGAUUUUGAAGCCGUUCAAUCUUUCCACGUGUUGGAUUGUUUGGUAGACGAUGUCCAGAUCUCCAUGCAUACACCCCUCUACAGCUAUCUUCAUCUUCAAAUUUUUGAUAAUUUGAAUUGGUAAGACAAUAGGGUUUAAGCAAAUCUAAACCCUCCUCCUCUGCUAUUAUUUUUGGAAUUUUUUUUUU
rnacentral:misc_RNA from 1 species